GACGAACGCUGGCGGCGUGCCUAAUACAUGCAAGUUGAGCGAUGAAGAUUGGUGCUUGCACCCAUUUGAAGAGCAGCGAACGGGUGAGUAACGCGUGGGGAAUCUGCCUUUGAGCGGGGGACAACAUUUGGAAACGAAUGCUAAUACCGCAUAACAACUUUAAACAUAAGUUUUAAGUUUGAAAGAUGCAAUUGCAUCACUCAAGGAUGAUCCCGCGUUGUAUUAGCUAGUUGGUGAGGUAAAGGCUCACCAAGGCGAUGAUACAUAGCCGACCUGAGAGGGUGAUCGGCCACAUUGGGACUGAGACACGGCCCAAACUCCUACGGGAGGCAGCAGUAGGGAAUCUUCGGCAAUGGACGAAAGUCUGACCGAGCAACGCCGCGUGAGUGAAGAAGGUUUUCGGAUCGUAAAACUCUGUUGGUAGAGAAGAACGUUGGUGAGAGUGGAAAGCUCAUCAAGUGACGGUAACUACCCAGAAAGGGACGGCUAACUACGUG
rnacentral:rRNA from 1 species